GAAUCAGCAAGGUAUGAGGAAGUAAGCCAUGUAAUUAGGCAAAGGAAACAUGAGCAUGAGGACCCUGAGGAAGAACAAGCAGGAGGAGAACCAAGAGAGGAGAGAAGAGUUCCAAGAUCUGAACACUAGAGCACUCCAGGUGCUCAGGACAUGGAUAACGGGAAGCUGUGAGACAGCAGGAGUAUUAGAGCACACUCCUGCUUAUACAGGAAAACAAGCUAACGGUGAACCCGCCUCCUGCAGGUCCUCCUGGAGGAAUUCCAGGAGAAAAUGCACUGUUACUGGAGCGGACAAACCCCUGCAUGUCACUGUCCCGAGGACUUCCCAGUGGAGCAACUGUGGAGGUGGAAGACAGCGACAAUGGUGAUCUCAGCUCUGUGCAGGCUUAGGACUGGGCGUGGGUUUGUGCCUUCCUCUUCAACAACAGAAACAGUAUUUUGGAAUGGGGAUGCUGGGGAUUGAGCUCAGAGCCUUGAUAACAAAUUUGAGACAUAGAGAAAAGUUUCUAGAAUAAGGAUAUAAAGAAAGAAAACAGUUUUGGACAUCUGCACAGUAUGUUUGUAUUUAAGCUAAGCAUUACUACAAAAAGUAAAAAUGUUUUAAACAUUUAAGUAUAUAAAGCAAAAAGGGGAUAGCGAUGUAAGGUUAAUUUUUUAUUUAAGAAAGCGAAGUACUUUUUAAUACACUGAGUGCAGCCUACAUGUACAGUGUAAGGGGUGGUCACAGCCAAAGUCUUCCUACUUACUGAUGCCCAGAGCGACUUCCUUCCCCCAAGCUCCAUCAUGGUAAGAGCCUUAUUUUGCAGGUUCACCUCUUCUUACACAUUCAUACUGUAUUUUUCAUGUACCUCCCUGUCUUGGUUA